rnacentral:rRNA from 1 species
AGCAGCCGCGGUAAUUCCAGCUCCAAUAGCGUAUAUUAAAGUUGUUGCAGUUAAAAAGCUCGUAGUUGAAUUUUGGAUUCUUCCAAUUGGUCCAUCUUUUAGAUGAGUACUGGUUGUGUGGGGUCUAUCCGCCUGGUGAUACGUAAUGUCCUUUAUUGGAUGUUGUGGGUAGUCAGGACCUUUACCUUGAAAAAAUUAGAGUGUUUAAAGCAGGCUUAUGCCGGAAUACAUUAGCAUGGAAUAAUAGAAUGGGACGAAGUUGUUUAUUUUGUUGGUUUCUAGGACAACCGUAAUGAUUAAUAGGGAUAGUUGGGGGCAUUAGUAUUCAAUUGUCAGAGGUGAAAUUCUUGGAUUUAUUGAAGACUAACUACUGCGAAAGCAUUUGCCAAGGAUGUUUUCAUUAAUCAAGAACGAAGUUAGGGAUCGAAGACGAUCAGAUACCGUCGUAGUCUUAACCAUAAACCUAUGACCGACUAGGGAUCGGGGCGAGUGUUGUUUCCAUGACUCGCUUCGGCUACCU